rnacentral:rRNA from 1 species
UGAAGAACGCAGCGAAAUGCGAUAAGUAGUGUGAAUUGCAGAAUUCAGUGAAUCAUCGAAUCUUUGAACGCACAUUGCGCCCCUUGGUAUUCCAUGGGGCAUGCCUGUUCGAGCGUCAUUUGUACCUUCAAGCUCUGCUUGGUGUUGGGUGUUUGUCUCGCCUUUGCGUGUAGACUCGCCUCAAAACGAUUGGCAGCCGGCGUAUUGAUUUCGGAGCGCAGUACAUCUCGCGCUUUGCACUCAUAACGACAGCGUCCAAAAAGUACAUUUUACACUCUUGACCUCGGAUCAGGUAGGGAUACCCGCUGAACUUAAGCAUAUCAAUAAGCGGAGGAA